UACAGAGGUCUCAAGCGUUGUUCGGAUUCAUUGGGCGUAAAGGGUGCGUAGGUGCGGCGCGUAAGUCGGGUGUGAAAUCUCGGAGCUUAACUCCGAAACUGCAUUCGAUACUGCCGUGCUUGAGGACUGGAGAGGAGACUGGAAUUUACGGUGUAGCGGUGAAAUGCGUAGAUAUCGUAAGGGAAGACCAGUGGCGAAGGCGGGGUCUCUGGACAGUUCCUGACGUGAGGCACGAAGGUCAGGGGAGCAAACGGG
rnacentral:rRNA from 1 species